rnacentral:ncRNA from 1 species
GGCAUGGGGUUAUCCGCGACGACCUCGUGAGGCGUAAGCCCAAUGAUCGCGUCCGAACGCCUCAACGCAUGAGGAAGGACGCGUUAUG